GUGCUCGUGACCACUAGGCAUCUGACUACGGAUCAGAAGGUUAGGGGUUCGAGUCCCUUCGGGCGCA
rnacentral:tRNA from 1 species